UACGUAGGGGACAAGCGUUGUCCGGAUUUACUGGGCGUAAAGAGCGCGCAGGCGGUCGUUCAAGUCGAGUGUGAAAGCCCCCGGCUCAACUGGGGAGGGUCACUCGAUACUGAUCGACUUGAAGGCAGGAGAGGGAAGCGGAAUUCCCGGUGUAGUGGUGAAAUGCGUAGAUAUCGGGAGGAACACCAGUGGCGAAGGCGGCUUCCUGGCCUGUUCUUGACGCUGAGGCGCGAAAGCUAGGGGAGCAAACGGG
rnacentral:rRNA from 1 species